rnacentral:rRNA from 1 species
UACGUAGGGUGCAAGCGUUGUCCGGAAUUAUUGGGCGUAAGAGCUCGUAGGCGGCUCGUCACGUCGACUGUGAAAACCCGGGGCUCAACUCCGGGCCUGCAGUCGAUACGGCUGGCUUGAGUGCGGUAGGGAGACUGGAAUUCCUGGUGUAGCGGUGAAAUGCCGCAGAUAUCAGGAGGAACACCGGUGGCGAAGGCGGGUCUCUGGGCCGUAAGCUGACGCUGAGGAGCGAAGCGUGG